UGCCAGAUCGACUAACGGCAGGUCGCAGUGCUCUGAACACUGAAAUGCAGGUUCAACCCCUGCUCUGGCAUCCA
rnacentral:tRNA from 2 species